rnacentral:lncRNA from 1 species
CUUGUCAUUGACUCUAGGAUCUUUUCUUUCAUUUCCUUAUAAAUACAAAUUGAAAAAAAAAUGAUUUUUAAAAAAAAAUGAAAAGCAAGUAAAGAAUGAAAAAAUAAAAAUAAAUGUAAUAGAGACAUUGGUUUGUAACCAAGCCAAGAUUUUAAUUUGCUUCAAACUCACAUAAUGCUUCCUUUUCCCAUCUCAUGAACCCC